rnacentral:rRNA from 1 species
AUUGAACGCUGGCGGCAUGCCUUACACAUGCAAGUCGAACGGUAACGGGCCUUCGGGUGCCGACGAGUGGCGAACGGGGGAGUAAUACAUCGGAACGUGCCCGAUCGUGGGGGAUAACGAGGCGAAAGCUUUGCUAAUACCGCAUACGAUCUACGGAUGAAAGCAGGGGACCGCAAGGCCUUGCGCGGACGGAGCGGCCGAUGGCAGAUUAGGUAGUUGGUGGGAUAAAAGCUUACCAAGCCGACGAUCUGUAGCUGGUCUGAGAGGAUGAUCAGCCACACUGGGACUGAGACACGGCCCAGACUCCUACGGGAGGCAGCAGUGGGGAAUUUUGGACAAAGGGCGCAAGCCUCAUCCAGCCAUGCCGCGUGCAGGAUGAAGGCCUUCGGGUUGUAAACUGCUUUUGUACGGAACGAAAAGCCUUCUUUUAAUACAGGAGGGUCAUGACGGUACCGUAAGAAUAAGCACCGGCUAACUACGUG